rnacentral:rRNA from 1 species
CCUACGGGUGGCAGCAGUAGGGAAUCUUUCACAAUGGGCGAAAGCCUGAUGGAGCAACGCCGCGUGCAGGAUGAAGGCCUUCGGGUUGUAAACUGCUUUUAUAAGCGAGAAAGAUGAUGGUAACUUAUGAAUAAGGAUCGGCUAACUACGGGCCAGCAGCCGCGGUCAUACGUAGGAUCCGAGCAUUAUCCGGAGUGACUGGGUGUAAAGAGUUGCGUAGGUGGCAUAAUAAGUAGCUAGUGAAAUCUGGUGGCUCAACCAUUCAGACUAUUAGCUAAACUGUUAAGCUCGAGACCGUUAGAGGUAACUGGAAUUUCUAGUGUAGGCGUGAAAUCCGUAGAUAUCAGGAGGAACACCAAUCGCGUAGGCAGGUUGCUGGGACGGUUCUGACACUAAGGCACGAAAGCGUAGGGAGCAAACGGGAUUAGAUACCCCUGUAGUC